rnacentral:rRNA from 1 species
UACGGAGGGAGCAAGCGUUACUCGGAAUUAUUGGGCGUAAAGGGCGCGUAGGCGAUUCGAAAAGUCAACUGUGAAAGCCCAGAGCCUAACCCUGGAAGUGCAGCUGAUACUGUUGAAUUUGAGUUCCGGAGAGGAAGGCAGAAUUCCCGGUGUAGCGGUGAAAUGCGUAGAUAUCGGGAGGAAUACCAGUGGCGAAGGCGGCCUUCUGGACGGAUGCUGACGCUGAGGCGCGAAAGCUAGGGGAGCAAACGGG